AUUGAACGCUGGCGGCAGGCCUAACACAUGCAAGUCGAGCGGAUGACGGGAGCUUGCUCCUUGAUUCAGCGGCGGACGGGUGAGUAAUGCCUAGGAAUCUGCCUGGUAGUGGGGGACAACGUUUCGAAAGGAACGCUAAUACCGCAUACGUCCUACGGGAGAAAGCAGGGGACCUUCGGGCCUUGCGCUAUCAGAUGAGCCUAGGUCGGAUUAGCUAGUUGGUGAGGUAAUGGCUCACCAAGGCGACGAUCCGUAACUGGUCUGAGAUGAUGAUCAGUCACACUGGAACUGAGACACGGUCCAGACUCCUACGGGAGGCAGCAGUGGGGAAUAUUGGACAAUGGGCGAAAGCCUGAUCCAGCCAUGCCGCGUGUGUGAAGAAGGUCUUCGGAUUGUAAAGCACUUUAAGUUGGGAGGAAGGGCAGUAAGUUAAUACCUUGCUGUUUUGACGUUACCGACAGAAUAAGCACCGGCUAACUCUGUGCCAGCAGCCGCAGUAA
rnacentral:rRNA from 1 species